rnacentral:rRNA from 1 species
CACGUAGGGCGCAAGCGUUGUCCGGAAUUACUGGGCGUAAAGCGCGUGUAGGCUGCUUCAUAAGUCGGGUGUGAAAGCCCUGGGCUCAACCUGGGAAUGGCAUUUGAAACUGGGCAGCUAGAGUGUGAUAGAGGAUGGCGGAAUUCCCGGUGUAGCGGUGAAAUGCGUAGAGAUCGGGAGGAACAUCCGUGGCGAAGGCGGCCAUCUGGAUCAACACUGACGCUGAGGCACGAAAGCGUGGGGAGCAAACAGG